AAUGUUCAAGCUCUGUCGAAUAAUUCUGCGUUUGGAGCGGCUGUCGCGCAUAAUACACGCGUUUAGUCGAUUGCCUGCAAAACGCUGCGUUUCGAUUUAUCAUUCUUCCUCAACCUAAACAACGCCGAAGAAGACGACUGUAUUUUGAUUUUCGUCUUCGGUUGGGAAUAUUGGGAUUGAUGUUAUCGUUCUGGCGCAGUGUAGCAUUCUUCUGAUCACGGUCGUGAGCCCCUCCUACACAGACCCUGGUGUCUGUCGGAAGUCACCGCAUAUUCCUGCCUCUUUAUAUUCGAAUGAAGGUGCAGUGGUCCAUGGAAAAGAUCAAUCUCAUGUGUUGGACAGCAUAGUGGAUGUAGCCUGGUCUUGCCUCUCAAGUACUUCCUAGUUGCCAUAUUUGAUUCAGUAAAGCCUGUUCAUGCUAAUUAAUAAAGUUCCUUGCAUUCUGAAAAUGGUGGAAAUUUCUAAAAAGGGUAUUCCACAACUUAA